rnacentral:lncRNA from 1 species
CCGUAGACCGGAGCUGUUCCUAUUCGGCCAUCUUGGCUCUUCCCCCGGUAUUUUGCCACUCUAUCAAGAAAGUUAAGGACUCUCAAGCUUUUGGAUGCUUAGAAAAUACAUCAGAGGAGGACAGAAACUCAGAUAUCUCUGCAUCCUGAAUUCAUUGGUGGAAUUGCUACUGUGCCCAGUAAAGUAGGUUAAUCUAAUCCCUAUUCUUUGACCCGAUAUGAUAAUUACAGGCAUAAAUUACCUUUUGAAAAAAAAAAGGCAAUGUUUUUAUUGGCAAUGUCAGCAUAUAAAGUAUGUAUUUAAGAAAAAUCACUAUGUGGUUAGGAGCAAUGAACUAUGUUGGGUGGCCUCAAGGAACUAAAUUGUAUAAAUGCUCUGAAGAAGAAUGAUUUGUGUGACUGGCAGAAUGCUUAGGAAACUUUUAUCUCCAACCACAAAUUGACUUAGAAUCCUAAAAUGCUAGACCUAGACAGGAUGUAGAUAGAUAAUCUAAUACACUAUUUUCUUUCUUUUUAAAAUGUUGCAAACAAUAAAAAAGUUGCUUGCUGAAAGAAGCAAAUGGAAAAAAUAAACUCUCAUAUUUUUUAAGGAUUGUAGGAAUUUAAACUUGACCGUGCUCCCAAAUCCACUUGUCCAUUUAAUCCACAAAUGAGAUGUGAGCACCUACUCUGUGACCAGGACUAUUACGGACACUUGGACUAUAGUAAGGAGUAAGAUGAGACCACUGGUCUUCAGCAACUCUUCAACUAUUCUGGCAUUUUCUAUCUCAGAAAGUAAAGGGGGCUGGGCCGGUGGUGCAGACCUGUAAUCCCAGCACUUUGGGAGUCCGAGGCUGACAGGAUCAC